GAUGAACGCUGGCGGCGCGCCUAACACAUGCAAGUCGAACGGCACCCCUCCUCGGAGGGAAGCGAGUGGCGAACGGCUGAGUAACACGUGGAGAACCUGCCCCCUCCCCCGGGAUAGCCGCCCGAAAGGACGGGUAAUACCGGAUACCCCGGGGUGCCGCAUGGCACCCCGGCUAAAGCCCCGACGGGAGGGGAUGGCUCCGCGGCCCAUCAGGUAGACGGCGGGGUGACGGCCCACCGUGCCGACAACGGGUAGCCGGGUUGAGAGACCGACCGGCCAGAUUGGGACUGAGACACGGCCCGGACUCCGACGGGAGGCAGCAGUGGGGAAUCUUGCGCAAUGGGGGGAACCCUGACGCAGCGACGCAGCGUGUGGGACGGAGGCCUUCGGGUCGUAAACCGCUUUCAGCAGGGAAGAGUCAAGACUGUACCUGCAGAAGAAGCCCCGGCUAACUACGUG
rnacentral:rRNA from 1 species